ACUGCCCUUAUCUCUCUGCUGUCACAAGGACUGUGUCAAGAAUGCCCUUGAUGUGAGUGUGUGUGUCAACUUCUUCAUCCAAAGUUAUAUCAAAACUCCUACUUACAUGGUGGUUUUAUUUCAAGCUAGUUUGAGGGUGUUGUAUUUUCUUUCAUCAAUAUAUAUAUUUUAAAGGAAACAACUCAAAGUAGCUAACUAUAAAAGCCUGUCAACCAUUUUAAUCUGGUGAUGAUGGUUUUAGGAUGUGGUUUCCUCAAACCUCCUUGGUUGAAUCUGCUCAGUAGUAAGUCCCUGUACCAGUAACUUUUUCCCAGCUUCAUUCACAUUUCAAGAAGCACAAUUAUACGUUUGAGAGUUCCUGGCACCAGUUGUCCCUUUCCCCAGUCGCAACAGCCCAUUCUCCCUGCUCCUCUGCCCUGUAAACUUAACACAAUGUCAACUAAUACACAAAAGCUCUUAUUUCUUACUAUUCCUGUUUUCCAAUGUGGUGCAUUCACAACCCUGAACUGAGAUAUCUGCUAUGAAUGGGCUCCAUCUCUCCAUUCAUUCAGACUAAAACGCACCAGACCACCAGACAACAAGCACUAGAGACUACGUGUGAAUGGGAGAUGGCACAGUACAACCAUUCACAUAAGUCAAGUAGGUUCAACUAGGAUUUCAGUGUUGCCUUUUUCACUGCAGUAAUACAUGUAGUAUGGCUAUGACCUCUAACUACUCUGGCUCCUCUGAAGAACGUGAAGUGUUCAACCUGAAUGACAUUGGCUUGUGUUGACCACACAACAACGACAUGAGUGUGCAUGGCAUAAGAUCAUGUAGGAAUGGAGCAGGGUUAACCCAUAUGGGCACACAGAACAGGGCAUAACUCCCCUCAAACGUCCUCCAGUAAAACUAGAACGUUUUAAUGAAACGAGAGAGAGAGAGAGAGAGAGAGAGAUUAAACGGUAACACGAGAAUAACGUCACUCGCUCUCAGAUGUAAGCAGACUGGUCCGGAGAAAACCGCUUGCGCCUCACUCAUUCGUGGUCGAAGAGAGAAAGCGUGGGGUAGAAAUAGACUUGGACCAAGGAAUCGUGUGGGUAGAGGCAGCACACGGCAUUAUCCACAAAGAAACGUGUAACGCAAAAAUAGUGGUUUUAAAAAGUUAUUUCCGCCAGUUGGAUUUUUUUUUAUUGAAAAGCGCCCAUAUUCAUCGCUGGACGUUUUGCAAAACGUGGAAAACCUACCCCAACAACCUGGAACCAUAUCCCACCUGUGUGCGUGAGCACGUGCACUUCUGUAAGCCUAUGUGUGGGAGAGCCCUGGGGGGUAAGAAAUAUUAUAUUACUGGCUAAGGUGAAGCCGUUGGACCCCUCUAUUGUUAACCUCAUAAUAGCAGUGAUAUAGAGAUUGUGUCCCAUGAAAACCAUCUCAUAUAUGAGAUCUGCUAUAUAGGCCAGCCUGGCCCUCUCCCUUUUCCUUAGUUAGCCAUCCCAUAGCUCUGCAGGGGGAGCUGGCUGCCAAUACAAUUGUCUAAAUAAUCCAAACUGAAGUGCUGCAGUAAAAUAUUGAUUUGUGUGAAUAGUGGAUGUGGCACUGUGUUGAAUGAGAAUGCUUGUUUUUGUCCCAAGGCUCAAGCCAUUUAAGGAGUGUCUAUAGCAGCAGUCGUUAGGGAAUCAAUAACUAUUCACCUAAGAACAAAUCAAAUCAAAUUCUAUUAGUCACAUGUGCCGAAUACAACAAGUAUUCUUACAGUGAAAUGCUUACUUACAAGCCCCUAACCAGCAAUGCAGUUUAAAAAAUACAAAUAAGAAUAAGAAAUAAAAGGAACAAGUAAUAUAAUAGCAGCAGUAAAAUGACAAUAGCGAGGCUAUAUACAGGGGGUACUGGUACAGAGUCAAUGUGCGCGGGCACCGGUUAGUCGAGGCAAUUGAGGUAAUAUGUACAUGUAGGUAGAGUUAUUAAAGUGACUACGCAUAGAUAAUAACAGAGAGUAGCAGUUCUAGUCCUAGUGUUAAGUUUCUCUCUUACUUUUCUCUUGUCAUUUUCUAUGUUUCCCGUCACAGUACUUGCAUGAAAUUCCCAAGACACAUUUAGAAAGACCGGACCUUUAAAGUAAACAUGCUACCAUUCAUUGUCACACUGUAGCCAACCCUGAAUGCGUGGCAGUGGCAUGCUGCAGCACAGUCACUGUGUGGUCUUGGUCAGAAGUUGCGACAUCAUUCAAUGGGGACUCACCUGUGUCUAACAAUAAAGAUGGCAGCCGUCUGUGGAGUGGAAGACUGGCUGUGGUUAAUGCUGGAGGUCCGAAGCACAUGGCGUCCCUCAGAGCUCCAUGUUUGGACCAAUAAAAAAAAGAACUGGAAUCAAACAGGCAACAAUCAUUAUAGGCCUGCUGGAGAAGGCUCCACUGUUCUGCUCGGUUCAGCUCUGGCCUCAGGAAAAGGGGAAAAUAUCCACUUCCUCCUGCUGGCUGUCUGGGCAGGCUAGUUGCCUCGGGAAAGUUCUUUAAUGUUAUUCUUUCUUCUUCUUCUCCCUUUGCCUAAACAGAAUGGUGAAUUAUCAAAGGGUGGAAAAAAUCUUACCAGCCUCUGCUUUUUUUGCGGCCUGCCUGGUGCUGUGAGUGCAGUUGGCGAUUCUUUUAACGUCAUAUAAAAAACUCUGCGGACUUCGACUGGCAACCAGUUCAUACAGACCACAUAGUCUGCUCUCCAAACUUCAGCUUUUCUGCUCUUUGAUGACAUUGUCGACAUGUGUGUGUCAUCAGUCCAGGCCCCUGACCUCUGUUUAUAGCUUUCGUCAAUAUGUUCCCCUUUGGCGUGGCGACAAUUAAAGCGACUUUCAAUUGGAGGGUUUGGUGCGCACCUUUUUCAUGCCCUCAGUGGUCGGGCCCUUUCCAAAUAUAAACAUUUGCUCUAAUGAUUAAGUUAACAUCAGUAUUUCAAAUCCAAUUUUAUUUGUCACAUGCGUCAAAUACAGCAGUGAAAUGCUUACUUACAAGCCCUUAAACAACCAUGCAGUUUUAAGAAGAAUACAAAACAAAAAAAGUAACAAAUAAUUACAGAGCAGCAGUAAAAUAACAAUAGCGAGGCUAUAUACAGGGGGUACUGGUAGAGAGUAUUUGGAGACGGUUCUUAGCUGAAAUCAGAUCCUUUCUCUAUCAGUGUGUGUGUGAAACCCGAGGCUGGACCACAGGCUCGGUGUGACAGGCCUGUGAAAUUGGCUGAUUAAAUGGAAUCUGUGGGGUCAGGGGUCAGGCUGUAGUGUGGAGGCAGGGAUCCACAUCUGGUGUACAGUUUGGCACAACAGGACCCCACUACUCACUACUAGAGGAGAUGGGGCUUAUAACAUGGCUGUUUGGUUUGCGUCAGAUUGACUGAAGGGGAAUGAAAAAGGUCUCUGUAAUACGCCGUACUCGACUUUACUUCUUACUUUUUUCCAGGGGUUGUGGUUUAGAGCUGGUGUUCUAUAAGAGAUGCUGUUACUCAAGCAGUAGGUUAGAGUUUCAGUACUGGUCAGCCCCUUCAACCACUGUUUGCAUCAUACUGCUUCACACUAACAUGUUACAGAUGCAGGAGGGGGACUAGAAGAGUAAAAGAAGAGAAGUUUCACUUUCACUGAUUCACUGCAGCAUCUGGUUUUGACAUAGUCUUUGUUUUUUUUUCUUUUACCCCCUCUACGAUAUUCUUUGAUGUUUGUGUGCAAGUCAGUGGAAGCCUUUCAACAACAACCCCCAGGAACCCUCUAAGCGAACGUGCAAAAGGAAGAUUUUUUUUUGAAGGUCCUUUUGUUUCCCGAAGAUGAGUUAAUUGACAGUAAACCCACCGGAGUGACUUUGAGGAGCGUUGGAACACGGGCAGGCGGAACCUACUGACUGACUAACUGGGUCACAUUACGUUAGGAGGUUUUCCGUCACAGCCUCCCGAAAGGAGACUUUGGGAUUGAAUUAAAAGCAGCCGUCUGUCUGUCCGAGGGAGGGUUGGGAGAUGCUCUCCUACAUUAGGCUCUGGAUGGAAAAGUGUCACACGAUUUUAGUCAGCAGAGCACAGUGGAAAAGUAGGGCCUGGGUGUGUGUGUGUGUGUGUGUGUGUGUGUACACACUGUGUGUAAAUGCUUUACAGUGGUUGUAUACCGGGGUCGUUGCUGUGUAAAGGGCCAAAGGAGUGGAAGCAGUUAUGGUGAUGGAGUUUUUCCACGUUGGUCAAAAGAAAUAAAGAGUUUCUUUUUAGAUUUCAUCCUCCUCAGAGCCAUCUUCCACAGAUCAUAGUAAUGUGUAGCACUGUAUAUAAUAGUGAAUACCACAUUCUUUCUCUCUCAGCCUCUGUCUCUCUUCCUCUCUCUCGCUCUCGCUCUCUUUCUCCUCUGCUCUCUCUCUCAGUCACGCACACUGUUAAGAUUAGGCAGCAUCGGAGUGAAUCUGUCUUCUCUCCUCUAUUUCUCUCCCUUUCCCUGAGUGUACUUUGCUUUACACUCUUUCAUACUCUGAUACAUUCUCCCUCCUCUCCCACCGUCCUUUGGGCUCAUGUGGCUCCCAGAGAUGAGGCUCUGCUGGGGGUACAACAGACACUCCCAACCUCCUCUUGGCGCCUACCGGCCCCCACCGGCCCCCAGCCUGGUCCCUUUACUGGGAAACCAGCAGGGAGGGGCCCACACAAUAACAAAUAACUACCCCCUCUCUCUCUCUCUCUCUCUGUCUCUCUCUGUCUCUGUCUCUCUGUCUCUCUCUUUCAAUUCAAUUCAAAGGGGCUUUAUUGGCAUGAGAAACAUAUGUUUACAUUGCCAAAGCAAGUGAAAUUCACAAUAAACAAGGCACAAAAUAAUAUCAACAAAAAAACGGUUGGAAAUUAACAGUAAACAUUACAUCACAAAGGUUUGAAAAAGAUGAACACAUUUCAAGUCUCUCUCUCUCCUCUCUCUCUCUUCUCCUCUCUCUCUCUCUCUCUCUCUUCUCUCUCCUCUUUUCUCUCUCUUCUCCUCUCUCCUCUCUCUCUCUUCUCUCUCCUCUCUCUCUCUCUUCCUAAGAAUAAGAUAUCCGGAGACUGACUGACAGGAGGGGGGAGGUGGGUGAGGGAGGAGGUUAGAGGGCAGGACCGGGGAGGUUCCAGUCUGUCUGGAUGAACAAGCAGAGGCGAGUUGGGGUUUUGUCCCAUUGUGUCUGUCAGUGGGUCAGUCUCAGGGAACUACGGACAGACGGACAUCAGCUGUUCCCAGCUGGUCUAUCAUAGAAAUUAGAUUCAGAUUAGCUGUUUUUAUUCCCACUUUGUGUGGGAAGUAAUGUGCCGAUCUCUUAUUUCUGCAUGUAACAUACUAGUCUGGGGAUCCACUAAAACUGGUUCCCUUUUUGCCGAUGUGACACUUGAGGACAAUGGACAUUCUUUCCUUUAUGGAUUCUGAGUUCCCUGCAGAAGGAUCCUUUCAGCCAUCCUUAGGUUGCCGUGGCAGCAGACGUUCUGCCCGGGGUUUAUGGAUAUUGAUUGGCUGAAACUCUAGUGACCCGGGCCUCGGCCUCGCAGCUGUAUGCUAAUGAAAGAGAGAGAUUACAGCCAAUCAGAAACAUCUGGCCCUCUGCGCUUGGUGAUAAGGAGAUUAUCAUUUGGUGUGCGUCUGUUUACGAACAAUGUGCUUUGAGUUGGGUUUGGUACAGGUGUUGAAGAUGACAGGCUACAUGAUUGUAGUGGUUCGUCAGGCUUUGUGAUAUGAGUGUUAUGUGUUUUCGUUCGUAGCUGGGUAACAUCUGAAAGAUAGAACUGUUCACUGUGGUACAGAAAUCAACUCCCCCCUCCUGUAGAAGUCAAGAAGUCUGACCAAGCGCUGACCAAACAUUUUUCUAGAUAACAGUUAGUUUAUGACUGAUCUGUCCUCUUCUCUUUCCCUGUCACCAUGACUACUCCACUUCAGUUUGGAUUAGCAAGCCUUCAGCGGUCAUUAUCACCAGCAGCUAGGGCCAACGUAGCGCCACAGACGGAAACCAACUGCCAUAGCGGUCUCUGUCUUUCUCCUCCUCCUCCUCUGUUCAAUUCAAAUGGAUUUAUUGGCACGGAAACACAUGUUAACAUUGCCAAAGCGAGUGAAAUAGAUAAUGCAAAAGUGAAAUAAACAAUCAAAAAUGAAUAGUAAACAUUACGCUCACAGAAGUUUCAAAGGAAUAGAGACAUUUCAAAUGUCAGAUUAUGUAUGUAUACAGUGUUAUAACAAUGUGCAAAUAGUUAAAGUACAAAAGGGAAAAGAAAUGAAAAGAAAUAUGGGUUGUAUUUACACUGGUGUUUUGUUUUCUUGUUUGUUUAGGUCACAGAUCUUGCUGUUGUUAUUGUACACUGUGGUAUUUUACCCAAUAGACAUGGGAGUUUAUCGUAAUUGUGUUUGUUUUCAAAUAAUUUGUGGUUCUGUGUAAUCUGAGGGAAAUAUUGUGUCUCUAACAUUUUCAUACAUUUUGCAGGAGGUUAGGAAGUGCAGCUCAGUUUCCACCUUGUUUUUUGGGCAGUGUGUACGUAUCCUGUCUUCUCUUGAGAACUAAGUCUGCCUAGUGGCCUCUCUCUCAAUAGCAAGGCUAAGCUCACUGAGUCAGUACGUAGUCACAGUGGUCAGGCAUUAUUCCAUUGUUUACUCUCUGUUUAGGGCCAAAUAGCAUUCCAGUUUGCUCUGUUUUUUGUUAAAUUCUUUCCAAUGUGUAAAGUAAUUAUCUUUUUGUUUUCUCAUGAUUUGGUUGGGUCUAAUUGUGUUGCUGUUGCCGUCCUGGGGCUCUGUGGGGUGUGUUUGUGUUUGUGAACAGAGCCCCAGGACCAGCUGCUUAAGGGACUGUUCUCUAGAUCUCUCUGUAGGUGAUGGCUUUGUUAUGGAAGGUUUGGGAAUCGCUUCCUUUUAGGUGGUUGUAGUAUUUGACGUCUCUUUUCUGGAUUUUGAUAAUUAGCGGGGAUUGGUCAAAUUCUGCUCUGCAUGCAUUAUUUGGUAUUUUACAUUGUACACGGAGGAUGUUUUUGCAGAAUUCAUAGUCUCAAUUUGGUGUUUGUUCCAUUUUGUGAAUUGUUGGUUGGUGAGCGGACCCGGACAUCACAACCAUAAACAGCAACAACAACAAAAAAACGACAAGUAUUUUUAGCCCGAUUCAAAUUUGAUGUUCCUUUUGAUGGCGUAGAAGGCCCUUCUUGCCACGUCUUUUAGCUUGUUCACAGCUUUGUGGGAGUUACCUGUGGUGCUGAUGUUUUUUGGAACAUCAGUCUUACUGAGAUUUAACGUCAGGGCCCAGAUCUGACAGAAUCUGUGCAGAAGAUCUAGGUGCUGCUAUAGGCCAUCCUUGGUUGGGGGGGAUCUCUCUCUCUUUCUCUCUCUCCUCUUGGCCCACUAAGUUGUGCUAAAGACGGGCUGUCCUCUUCCAGACUAGUGUUAGAUGAUUUUUCAAGCCAUACGGUGUUUCAGGGAGAUGCGAGAGCUCUAAGUCUAUUAGUUAGUUCCAACUGGAAACCAGGUUCUGCUAGUUAGGUGUUGAAGGGUAUCUGACUCAAUAGGUGAUCAUGACUUACACACACUGGGCACUAUUCAAUCAAAGGGUCGAUGUGGAAGUGUCAGGGCAAAGGUUAACCAACCAACAGUCGUAUAUUGAAUUAAAGUAGUUGAGUUGUGUUUAACCUGCCCAGGGACAAGCGGUCGAAAAUUAGCCGGCUGGCUAAAUCCUGCACUUUUACUGAAACGUUGAUUCAUGUGCACUGUCCCUGUAAAAAUAAAAUUAUAAUCUGUUUUGCAUAGUUUCACAUAGUUCAUAUUUUUCUAUUGAUUUCCUUUUAUUAUAGAUAAUCAAUCCAAAUAUAAUCAUAUUCUCAGUGCAAGAAGCAUGGACAGCUAGUGUUUUGAUAUUGUAUUUUGAGUGAAUAAGGCCCACUGUUUGAAUGGAAGCCAAGGGCCCCGGUCACUGUGUAUAGGCCAGGUUAGUGGUGUGUACCAGGUCUCUCUGUGUAAUGAAUAGUGUAGGAUUAAUGGUGUGUGCAACUGGGAACGCAUUUGUUGCAGCACGAAAGAGUCUCCAGGGUUAGCUGCUGCUGCUGCAGGUGACUGGAGAGCUGUCACACUGGAUCGGACAGGGGGCGGGAUAUAAUGAUACAUCACCUAGGGGACUAUAGACAGAUGCAGCCGCACACACACACACACACACACACACACACACUCACACAUGCGCAUGCCGUAGCAGAUUCAAUGACAUGAAGCAUGUUUUUAUCGUCUCCCAAUUGUUCAUGUUAGUCUGCCCAAGGACAAACUGUGAGCUCUGAACCAAUAACCGACAGAGACAGAUUCAGUCUGAUUGUUUGGCAAUGACCAUACCUCCAGUUAAACCCACAUAAAACAGCACAGUGUCCCGAGGCCCCAGAACUCAUAUCCCUCUGUCUCAUGAAUACAGGACUAAUUGAAUUCAGCUGGAAUCAGCCAAAGCAGUUAUAUCACCACUGUACAGCCUCUCCUCUCCUAAUCAACAGAUGCAUUCUGUUUGGUGAAAUCUCAGGUGCUGUGAAGGACAGCCGGGCACUGACACACUUUCAGUUACUAAACAAACACAGAAUGAACUGACACAGUUUCAGCUUCACCUCAAGCUCACCUUCCUCUCUCUCAUUCCCUGUUAACCCCUCCCCCCUUCCAUUGUCUAUAAACCUGCAGUGCUCUACUCUACUUUGAUUCAAUCCCUGGUCCUAUCACACUUCGAGUUCUGUCCAGUUAUAUGUUCAUCUGUAGCGAAGAAAGAUUUUAAAAAGCUCCAAAUGGCUCAAAACAGGGCUGCCAGAUUACCUCUUCAAUUGGUCUAUCUGAAUGAAUAUUAGUCAAAUGCAUGAGAAUCUCUCAUGGCUUCACGUUGAAAACAAAUUACUAUCCAGUUUUCUGAUUUUCUUUAGGAAUGUUAUAUUUUUCCAAAAAACAGUAUUUUUCAGGCAAGUUAGUUCAUACUAGCAACACGCAUAACCACCAAACCAGACAGGCAAAUACAGGACUGCUAAGACCCAAGCCAAGGACAAAUCUCAUUAAAUCUACAGUUUUAUAUAGAGCAAUAGCUGAAUGGAACUCUUUACCAAUCCAUAUUUUUCAGGCAAAAAGUCAAUCGACCUUCAAGAAAAAAAUAAAAGAACAUCUAAUGUGAUAGAUCAUAUGACUGGACAGGAAAUAGAAAGUAUCGACUGAAUGUUAAAUGUGUUUCCUGUCAGGUAUUUGAAUUGUCUGUAUUGUCUACUUGUUGAAUGAUUGUGAAGUCUUGAUUUGUGGUUGUUUGUAAUGUCUUGUUAAUUGGUGUUUGACCCCAGGAAGAUUAGCUAGUGUUAUGGCGUUAGCUAAUGGGGAUCCUAAUAAAAAUGACAAAAUGUCUCAUGUCAGGGAGACUUCCUGUGAGGCUACAGUAGGACAGUGCCUUCAGAAAGUAUUCACACCUCUUGACUUUUUCCACAUUUUGUUGUGCUACUGCCUGAAUUUAAAAUGUAUUAAAUUGUGAUUUUGUGUUUACAAAAAAUUAAAAGCUGAAAUGUCUUGAGUCAAUGAGUAUUCAAACCCUUUCUCAUGGCAAGCCUAAAUAAAUGAAGAAGUACAAAUUUG
ensembl:lncRNA